UACGAAGGGGGCUAGCGUUGUUCGGAAUUACUGGGCGUAAAGGGUUUGUAGGCGGUUAUACAAGUCAGUGGUGAAAGCCCGGGGCUCAACCUCGGAAUUGCCAUUGAAACUGUAUAGCUAGAGAAUGUUAGAGGAAAGUGGAAUUCAUAGUGUAGGAGUGAAAUCCGUAGAGAUUAUGAGGAAUAUCGAUGGCGAAGGCAGCUUUCUGGGACAUUUCUGACGCUGAGAAACGAAAGCGUGGGUAGCAAACAGG
rnacentral:rRNA from 1 species